UAUGAAUGAGAGCAGAUUAUGGUAUCAGCCUAACAAGGCUUCAGAAAGCAGAAACUGCUGGAAGCUGAACACGAACAAAAUCUGCACCUCCUCAGCUUCUGCAAUUAGAUUUCAAGUGGAGAAUAUUGCAAAUGUAGAUAUCGCCAAUUAUAAAAGAGAAUUUGUAACAACACCACACAAUGAUGCACAGUAAACUGAAGGAUGGUUUUCCAUUGCACAACAUGCUUCAGACAAAGAGAGUUGAUGAGCAGAAGGCCAAUUUGGAAGCUCAACAGUCAAUUUUACCCAAACCAGCAACAACAGCUUCCGUGAAUGGAUUUGAACCCAUGUUCCAGAGUAUUAACUUGAUCGCCUGGUUUCUCAUCUAGUGACAUUACCUCUUCACCACCAUUGCUGAGCAGAGCUCAGAGGGAUCUGAAAAUGUACAACUUUUGGUGAAAAUCAUAUCUGCAAAACUUGGCUGGAAGAAAACUCCCAAUGUAUGGGAUUUAGCGGUGGAAGCCACAAAGAAAAGGUGGUGGAAUUUUACUGGAAGAAGUUCAGAGCUUUCAUAGACUUUUGAUUGCAAUUUUUGCCAUAUAUGCUAAGUUGAUUGUCCAGUAAACCCAUGAGAUCUACCCUUAUUGAAUCUGCUAUUUAAAGUUUAUUUGAUAUCGACUGCA